rnacentral:rRNA from 1 species
UACAGAGGUCUCAAGCGUUGUUCGGAUUCAUUGGGCGUAAAGGGUGCGUAGGCGGCGCGGUAAGUCGGGUGUGAAAUCUCGGAGCUUAACUCCGAAACUGCAUUCGAUACUGCCGUGCUUUGAGGACUGGAGAGGAGACUGGAAUUUACGGUGUAGCGGUGAAAUGCGUAGAUAUCGUAAGGAAGACCAGUGGCGAAGGCGGGUCUCUGGACAGUUCCUGACGCUGAGGCACGAAGGCCAGGGGAGCAAACGGGG